rnacentral:tRNA from 1 species
ACCGCGAUAGCUCAGCUGGAAGAGCAUCUGCCCGAUAUGCGGAGGGUAGCCGGUUUGACCCCGGCUCUCGGAG